rnacentral:misc_RNA from 1 species
CUUCCCUCACAUUCGAUCAAUUGUUGCUCCACGAGCUAAACGUUGGAUGCAAGACCCGGGUUCCUGUGUUGCAUACCUAUUGCGACGGAAAUGUGUGCCUUCGAUCGUCCCUUCCAUCACGGCAUCCUCUCGGAUGCUCGGUUGGACCGGAUAGUGGGGCUCGUGUUCCACGAACGUCGUCUCAUUCGAUCGUUCGGAUGGACCACGAGUGCCUACUCGUUCUCUCGGAUGCGGAACUCUCUUAAUGGGUGUGGGGUCAUUGGCCCUUGUUCCCUAAUCGUUAAGCGUUUAUCGCUUCACCGGAAUGACGAUCUUGCCUUGUCCUUGAUCACGCGAAGCCCUCGGGCAUCGCGAUGUAUCAUGCUCGGCGGACGUCGUGAAGGAAUGC